AUGUUUCUUCCAUUCUUCGUUCAAUCACCACUUAAAGGUUUCUUAGUCUGAAACUCCAUUUUGAAGGCUUGCAUCUCAUUUGUCAGUUGUGGCUCCAGUUUUACUUGUCCAACACCAGUUUGAAUGGCAGACGAAUUUUGAGGCGGGGCAUUUGCGUGAUGGAGGAGGGAAUUUCCAAGCAUGUUGAUGUGUGGUGAGCCUUGACCACCCAAUAAAGAAGAAGAAGCUAAGUUUGAGCGUGCCCCUAGAGGUACCAUCUUCCAUUCUUCUGUCCAAAUCACCUCCCCUCCUCUGCAUAAUAAUAAUAAUUUGGGCAACAAACAACAACAAAUAUUCCUACCCAUGAGAACCUGCAAAUGAUGAUGAUAAUAUGAACAAUCCUCCCCCAACUCCAGAACACCAUCAGGCGUCAGACGAUGAUGAAAGUGAAGAUACUCCGGCUGUCGUGGCG
rnacentral:lncRNA from 1 species